GCCCUGGAGGAUAGUGGUUAGGCCACGGCGCUCUCACCGCCGCAGCCCAGGUUUCAAUUCCCAGCCAGGGAA
rnacentral:tRNA from 1 species